rnacentral:rRNA from 1 species
UACGUAGGGUGCGAGCGUUAAUCGGAAUUACUGGGCGUAAAGUGUGCGCAGGCGGCCGCGCAAGUCGAGUGUGAAAGCCCCGGGCUUAACUUGGGAAUUGCGCUCGAAACUACGUGGCUGGAGUGUGGCAGAGGAAGGUGGAAUUCCACGUGUAGCGGUGAAAUGCGUAGAUAUCGUAAGGAAGACCAGUGGCGAAGGCGAAUCUCUGGACAGUUACUGACACUGAGGCACGAAGGCCAGGGGAGCAAACGGG